rfam:Penicillium griseofulvum strain PG3 contig_92, whole genome shotgun sequence.
GGGGCGAUAGCUCAGUUGGGAGUAGCGUGCGAUUGAAGUUCGCAAGGUCGCCGGUUCAAUCCCGGCUCGCCCCA